rnacentral:tRNA from 2 species
GCGCCUGUAGCUCAGCUGGAUAGAGCGCCGGACUACGAAUCCGUAGGCCAGAGGUUCGAAUCCUCUCAGGCGCACCA